rnacentral:rRNA from 1 species
CCUCCAGACUCCUACGGGAGGCAGCAGUGGGGAAUAUUGCACAAUGGGGGGAAACCCUGAUGCAGCGACGCCGCGUGAGCGAUGAAGUAUUUCGGUAUGUAAAGCUCUAUCAGCAGGGAAGAAAAUGACGGUACCUGACUAAGAAGCCCCGGCUAACUACGUGCCAGCAGCCGCGGUAAUACGUAGGGGGCAAGCGUUAUCCGGAUUUACUGGGUGUAAAGGGAGCGUAGACGGCAAUGCAAGCCAGAUGUGAAAGCCCGGGGCUCAACCCCGGGACUGCAUUGGAAACUGGCGGGCUGGAGUGCCGGAGAGGUAAGCGGAAUUCCUAGUGUAGCGGUGAAAUGCGUAGAUAUUAGGAGGAACACCAGUGGCGAAGGCGGCUUACUGGACGGCAACUGACGCUGAGGCUCGAAAGCGUGGGGAGCAAACAGGAUUAGAUACCCGAGUAAA